rnacentral:lncRNA from 1 species
CAGCUACUGACACCUUAACAUUCGGAAAGCCGAUAACCCUCAAGGUCAUACCAAAAGAUGCAGCGCCAACUCCUCCGUUUCUGUCCAUCUUGUCCCCUUUCAAUGGCAAAGGACCAGAUAUUUGUCUGGCCGCCGGGUUCUUUCCUCAAGAAAAGACUAUGACUUUGAAUGUGAAAGGGAAAGAACCUGAGAAUUUUACCACCAGCAAUGCACCUUUGUUCAAAUCGUCCAAAACCUAUUAUUAUGCUGGAUCCCCUGAUGAUGAAAUCCAAAAAUGCCAAAUGGAUGAAGAAACUGCAGACAAAACUCCUGACACUCCUGUCACGACAGAUAAACCCGAAAAACUGACUCCACAGUCUUGUGAAACAAAUGCUAGAACUUCUGCCUCAGGGUUCAUAGACACUGGUGAUCCAAAAAUGAACUUCAUGAAUCUUCUUGUGACAGGUCUGAGAAUUCUGCUUGCUAAAUGUGUUGCAGUUAAUGUAAUGAUGACUGUAAAGGCAUUCGUAUUUUAAAAGUUCAAUCCAGCCAAAUCAUCUGAAUAAUCUCAAUUUUGAACUGGAGCUUGAUCGAACCCUGACAAACAAACAAAUGCGGUUAUACAGUCAGUCACAGGGUCAGUAUUAAUCUAUAUUCUGUCUAAUAAUGUUAAAUGGAAUGAAAAAUACAAAUUGUUAGUAAUGUCUUUCAUAUAUAAAGAAUAUCGACAAACAUUGCAAACCUUUUUGACAUUUAGAAACAUUUCUGAAUUCAGUGGUGUAAUGUGCGUAUUGCUUUGCAAUGGUGUGUGUAUUUUCUGGCUUUAGUUGCAAACAGGUGCAAGUAAAUUUUUUGUAUACUUUUAAAUUUUUUACUUUUUUAAUUUUUUUACAUAACAGCAUUGCAUUGUUUAAGACUUUUACAUUGUCUAAUUGUGUAACGGAUUACCAUUUGACUUAACUAUUGAGGCUCUGA